GAUGAACGCUAGCUACAGGCUUAACACAUGCAAGUCGAGGGGAAACGGCAUUAAGUGCUUGCACUUUUUGGACGUCGACCGGCGCACGGGUGAGUAACGCGUAUCCAACCUUCCCAUGACUAAGGGAUAACCUGCCGAAAGGCAGACUAAUACCUUAUGGUCUUCACUGACGGCAUCAGAUGUGAAGUAAAGAUUUAUCGGUUAUGGAUGGGGAUGCGUCUGAUUAGUUAGUUGGCGGGGUAACGGCCCACCAAGGCAACGAUCAGUAGGGGUUCUGAGAGGAAGGUCCCCCACAUUGGAACUGAGACACGGUCCAAACUCCUACGGGAGGCAGCAGUGAGGAAUAUUGGUCAAUGGGCGAGAGCCUGAACCAGCCAAGUAGCGUGCAGGAUGACGGCCCUAUGGGUUGUAAACUGCUUUUGUAUGGGGAUAAAGUCAAUCACGUGUGAUUGUUUGCAGGUACCA
rnacentral:rRNA from 1 species